CUAGAAACUAACAAAGGAGGAAGAAAGGAGACAAAACUGGAUGAAUCAAUUUUUCCCAAUUGUGGUAGCCAGCUUCCAAGAUGGCUCCAGUGACCCCUGCCUACUGGUUUGUACACACCAUGGUCUGUGUGAUCAAUAGUAUGUGGCAAAAGUGAUGGCAAAGUCACAUGCCAUGUUGUGAGCUACCCUAUGGGGAGGCCCAUGUGGAAGGAACUGAAACCAGCCAACAGGCAGUGAAGAUCUGAGGUGUACCAAUAACCAUGAGUGUGAGCUUGAAGAAUCUUCAGCCCCAGCCAAUCCUAGAGAUGACACUAGCGUUGGCUGUCAAUUAAUUUGACUAAUAUCUUCUGAGAAAACUCCCAGAAAGACCCAGCUCAACUGCUUCCAGAUUCCUGACAAUGACAAACUGUGAGCUUCUCAAAACUCUGGGGAUUGAUAUUCACCAAAUCCAGUCCUUCUUCAGCCUGCGUCAACAAGUUGUGAUUUCUUAGGUCAGAAGCCAGUUAUGUUCACCUGGAAGAAAAUUAAGCCCAAAGUGUCAAAUGAAGUUCUGUAUUUCAAAAGACAUUUCCUAGGUCCUGGCCUGAAAAUGACUUGAAAAUUCCUGGGUUCUAGAAGCACCCACCUGGCCUUUCCUGAUGCAUGUACCACAGAAGAUGUCACAGAGUCCACUGGCAGCUUGGCUGAGGCAAAGCACAGCUUCCAUCACACCAAUGCCCAGAAGGAUGGAAAGCAAGACUACAUUCCAGAGGACGAUAUGCUCAGGCUCCAGGCAUGUGGCCCAGGUGGGCUGGUUGAAUAAGGAGUUGUCCCUGCAGGAGGAGGAGAAUGUUGGCCUGGCCUCUAAAGACAGGAA